rnacentral:misc_RNA from 1 species
GAAAUGCGACAAGUAAUGUGAAUUGCAGAAUUCAGUGAAUCAUCGAAUCUUUGAACGCACAUUGCGCCCCCUGGUAUUCCGGGGGGCAUGCCUGUUCGAGCGUCAUUUCACCACUCAAGCCUCGCUUGGUAUUGGGCAACGCGGUCCGCCGCGUGCCUCAAAUCGACCGGCUGGGUCUUCUGUCCCCUAAGCGUUGUGGAAACUAUUCGCUAAAGGGUGUUCGGGAGGCUACGCCGUAAAACAACCCCAUUUCUAAGGUUGACCUCGGAUCAGGUAGGGAUACCCGCUGAACUUAAGC